AGUAACGCGUGGGCAACCUGCCCCAUAGAGGGGGACGAACAGCUGGAAACGGCUGCUAAUACCGCAUAACAAGGAGAGAGCGCAUGUUCUUUUCUUCAAAGAUUUAUCGCUAUGGGAUGGACCCGCGUCUGAUUAGCUGGUUGGUGAGGUAACGGCUCACCAAGGCGACGAUCAGUAGCCGGCUUGAGAGAGUGGACGGCCACAUUGGGACUGAGACACGGCCCAGACUCCUACGGAAGGCAGCAG
rnacentral:rRNA from 1 species